GAUGAACGCUGGCGGCGAGCCUAAUACGUGCAAGUAGAACGCUGAAGGAGGAGCUUGCUCUUCUGGAUGAGUUGCGAACGGGUGAGUAACGCGUAGGUAACCUGCCUGGUAGCGGGGGAUAACUAUUGGAAACGAUAGCUAAUACCGCAUAACAGUAGAUAUUGCAUGAUAUCUGCUUGAAAGGGGCAAUUGCUCCACUACCAGAUGGACCUGCGUUGUAUUAGCUAGUUGGUGAGGUAACGGCUCACCAAGGCGACGAUACAUAGCCGACCUGAGAGGGUGAUCGGCCACACUGGGACUGAGACACGGCCCAGACUCCUACGGGGGGCAGCAGUAGGGAAUCUUCGGCAAUGGACGGAAGUCUGACCGAGCAACGCCGCGUGAGUGAAGAAGGUUUUCGGAUCGUAAAGCUCUGUUGUAAGAGAAGAACGAGUGUGAGAGUGGAAAGUUCACACUGUGACGGUAUCUUACCAGAAAGGGACGGCUAACUACGUGC
rnacentral:rRNA from 1 species